GACAGAGGAGCCAAGCGUUGUCCGGAUUGACUGGGCGUAAAGCGCACGCAGGCGGGUGCGCGCGUGGGGUGUGAAACCUGGCCGCUUAACGGCCAGCGGCCAUCCCAUACGGCGCGCCUGGAGCCUUGCAGAGGGCGGUGGAAUUGCCGGUGUAGUGGUGAAAUGCGUAGAGAUCAGGAGGAACACCAGCGGCGAAGGCGGCCCCCUGGGCCGCUCCUGACGCUGAGACGCGAAGGCCAGGGUAGCGAACGGG
rnacentral:rRNA from 1 species